GUGCCAGCAGCCGCGGUAAUACGUAGGGUGCGAGCGUUAAUCGGAAUUACUGGGCGUAAAGCGUGCGCAGGCGGCUUUGCAAGACAGAGGUGAAAUCCCCGGGCUCAACCUGGGAACUGCCUUUGUGACUGCAAGGCUAGAGUACGGCAGAGGGGGAUGGAACUCCGCGUGUAGCAGUGAAAUGCGUAGAUAUGCGGAGGAACACCGAUGGCGAAGGCAAUCCCCUGGGCCUGUACUGACGCUCAUGCACGAAAGCGUGGGGAGCAAACAGGAUUAGAU
rnacentral:rRNA from 1 species